GAAUGAAUAUUCGAUUUUUUCUUCAAUGUGGAAUCAAUUCACACCAAUUCUUCCAUUUUUCAUAUUAAAAAAUACAGAUUCGGGGUCAUCAUUAAUCAUUUGAUA
rnacentral:tRNA from 1 species